AGGUGACCAAGAAUUUGAAAGAUAUUCAAGGACCUGCCUUAGCUAUUGUUCUUGAACGACUAAAGCACUCUGGGGCUUUUCAAGAAACAUUUGAAGUGGCUAAAACAAUAUCGAUGGGGCCAUCAUUGAAAAGUGGAUCAAAAGUUGGGAAAUCUAGCUCUAAUGGUAAUGGUGACCGACGGGCUGGAAAUAGGGCUGUUUCUUCGAGAGUAACUUCAAUUAAGGGUUCAAGGCCAGAAUCAAUCAUGUCU